rnacentral:sRNA from 1 species
CCUUCCCAGGUACAGAGCAUGAAGCAGACCAACAGCAGCCUGCGCCAAGCCCUGGAGGGCGGUAUUGAUCCACUCCGCCCCCCGGAGGCCAACACCAAGUUCAACUCCCGCUGGACCACAGAUGAGCAGCUUUUGGCCGUCCAAGCCAUCCGUAGGUAUGGCAAAGACUUUGGGGCUAUUGCAGAGGUGAUUGGGAACAAGACUCUGACCCAGGUGAAGACUUUCUUUGUGAGCUACCGGCGCCGCUUCAAUCUGGAGGAGGUGCUGCAGGAAUGGGAGGCUGAGCAGGAUGGGGCCCCUGGAGCCCCAGUCCCCAUGGAGGAGGCUAGGAGAGGGGCUCCAUUGCCAGCCCCAGCCCUAGAGGAAGAUGAUGAGGUGAGAAGGGGGUGAGAGAAACCCCUCAGAGAGGAGAGGCGAGGCGAGGCGAGGUGAGGCGCCGCCUUGGUCCUUAGACUGGGCUGAGGGCGGGAAGAGCCUGGCUUCUCACUCUUUCCUCUCCCCUCAGGUCCAGAUUACAUCGGUCUCCACGUCUGUGCCCCGAUCAGUGCCCCCUGCGCUGCCACCCCUUCCACCUCCCACCUCGCUGUCCCAGCCGCCCCCACUGCUGAGGCCACCUUUGCCCACGGCUCCCACUCUGCUCCGACAGCCACCCCCACUGCAGCAGGGCCGCUUCCUCCAGCCCCGGCUGGCCCCCAACCAGCCCCCACCGCCUCUCAUCCGCCCCGCUCUGGCUGCCUCCCGCCACAGUGCCCGCCCUGGCCCUCAGCCCCCACCCACCUUGAUUGGAGCCCCUCUGG